UUUGACCUCAAAUCAGGUAGGACUACCCGCUGAACUUAAGCAUAUCAAUAAGCGGAGGAAAAGAAACCAACAGGGAUUGCCUCAGUAGCGGCGAGUGAAGCGGCAAAAGCUCAAAUUUGAAAUCUGGCGUCUUUGGCGUCCGAGUUGUAAUUUGAAGAAGGUAUCUUUGGGCCCGGCUCUUGUCUAUGUUCCUU
rnacentral:rRNA from 1 species